AGGAAAGGGCUGCAUCAUCAAAAGGUUUCUCCUAACCCCCAUGUAUGCUUCAUUAAGGCCUAUAAGGAACUGAAACACCUUAUUCUCAUCAUCUUCCUGAAUUAUCCCAUUCUUAGCAGCACACACACACCUCUACCCAUGAUUAGUACACAUUAUACCUAGCUCAUCCCACAGACUUUUGAGCUUAUUAAAAUAUGAGGCUACAUCUAGAAAGCCUUGAGAUGUGUGAGAAAGUUCCCUUUUUAAUUCAAAAAUUUUGGUCUUGUUAGCAGUACCAUAUCUGUUCUCAAUUUGGGACCAUAUACUUUGUGCAGUAUCGGAAUACUGCACACU
rnacentral:lncRNA from 1 species